UACGUAGGGUGCAAGCGUUAAUCGGAAUUACUGGGCGUAAAGCGUGCGCAGGCGGUUGUGCAAGACAGAUGUGAAAUCCCCGGGCUCAACCUGGGAAUUGCAUUUGUGACUGCACGGCUAGAGUGUGUCAGAGGGGGGUAGAAUUCCACGUGUAGCAGUGAAAUGCGUAGAGAUGUGGAGGAACACCGAUGGCGAAGGCAGCCCCCCUGGGUCAAGACUGACGCUCAUGCACGAAAGCGUGGGGAGCAAACAGG
rnacentral:rRNA from 1 species